rnacentral:rRNA from 1 species
UACGGAGGGUGCAAGCGUUGCUCGGAAUUAUUGGGCGUAAAGGGUAGGUAGGUGGUCUCAUUUGUCUGGGGUGAAAGCCUUGAGCUUAACUCAAGAAGUGCCUCAGAAACGGUGAGACUAGAGUUCUGGAGAGGGUCGUGGAAUUCCCGGUGUAGCGGUGAAAUGCGUAGAGAUCGGGAGGAACACCAGAGGCGAAGGCGGCGACCUGGACAGAUACUGACACUCAACUACGAAAGCGUGGGGAGCAAACAGG